rnacentral:rRNA from 1 species
AAUACAUGCAAGUCGAACGCUUUGUGGUUCAACUGAUUUGAAGAGCUUGCUCAGAUAUGACGAUGGACAUUGCAAAGAGUGGCGAACGGGUGAGUAACACGUGGGAAACCUACCUCUUAGCAGGGGAUAACAUUUGGAAACAGAUGCUAAUACCGUAUAACAAUAGCAACCGCAUGGUUGCUACUUAAAAGAUGGUUCUGCUAUCACUAAGAGAUGGUCCCGCGGUGCAUUAGUUAGUUGGUGAGGUAAUGGCUCACCAAGACGAUGAUGCAUAGCCGAGUUGAGAGACUGAUCGGCCACAAUGGGACUGAGACACGGCCCAUACUCCUACGGGAGGCAGCAGUAGGGAAUCUUCCACAAUGGGCGAAAGCCUGAUGGAGCAACGCCGCGUGUGUGAUGAAGGGUUUCGGCUCGUAAAACACUGUUGUAAGAGAAGAAUGACAUUGAGAGUAACUGUUCAAUGUGUGACGGUAUCUUACCAGAAAGGAACGGCUAAAUACGUGCCAGCAGCCGCGGUAAUACGUAUGUUCCAAGCGUUAUCCGGAUUUAUUGGGCGUAAAGCGAGCGCAGACGGUUAUUUAAGUCUGAAGUGAAAGCCCUCAGCUCAACUGAGGAAUUGCUUUGGAAACUGGAUGACUUGAGUGCAGUAGAGGAAAGUGGAACUCCAUGUGUAGCGGUGAAAUGCGUAGAUAUAUGGAAGAACACCAGUGGCGAAGGCGGCUUUCUGGACUGUAACUGACGUUGAGGCUCGAAAGUGUGGGUAGCAAACAGGAUUAGAUACCCUGGUAGUCCACACCGUAAACGAUGAGUGCUAGGUGUUUUGAGGGUUUCCGCCCUUAAGUGCCGCAGCUAACGCAUUAAGCACUCCGCCUGGGGGAGUACGACCGCAAGGUUGAAACUCAAA